rnacentral:rRNA from 1 species
CCUGGCUCAGGAUGAACGCUGGCGGCGUGCUUAACACAUGCAAGUCGAACGAAGCACCUCUAAUCGAAGAUUGAGAAGCUUGCUUUGAUGAUCACCUUGAGGUGACUGAGUGGCGGACGGGUGAGUAACGCGUGGGUAACCUACCCUAUACAGGGGGAUAACAGUUGGAAACGACUGCUAAUACCGCAUAAGCGCACAGGACCGCAUGGUCUAGUGUGAAAAACUCCGGUGGUAUAGGAUGGACCCGCGUCUGAUUAGCUAGUUGGUGAGGUAACGGCUCACCAAGGCGACGAUCAGUAGCCGACCUGAGAGGGUGACCGGCCACAUUGGGACUGAGACACGGCCCAAACUCCUACGGGAGGCAGCAGUGGGGAAUAUUGCACAAUGGGCGAAAGCCUGAUGCAGCGACGCCGCGUGAACGAAGAAGUAUUUCGGUAUGUAAAGUUCUAUCAGCAGGGAAGAAAAAUGACGGUACCUGACUAAGAAGCUCCGGCUAAAUACGUGCCAGCCGCUGC